rnacentral:rRNA from 1 species
UGGGACAAUGCAGCAUCUAUCCCUGCCAUGCGUUAUACGUCCCCUGCUUCCCGUGACACGCCCGAUCCCAUGGCUACUCUACAGUUCAAGUCAGUCAAAAUCACAUCAAUCAAAGAGUGCUUACACUGGCCACUGCAAGUGUUUGGUAUCGUUGCUGCACGUGAUAUCCUGGAUAACAAGCGCAACAUUAUUUUCCACCGUCCGAGAAAUAGCUGCCAGACCAUCACUGAAGAGGAUCCAUAUCUUGCAUUGACCGGCCCCAGUCGAGCUAUUGCGGUGUCAAUAGACCCUUCCUACAUUGAGGUUUCCCUGAAAGUCAAGGGCACUACAAAAGCUGAGGAUAAAGAUCUGAGUGAUCUUGUUGUGACUUACAGAAGUGGGUAUUGCCUAACUGGUGUUUACCCUAGCAGGCUCAGCACGCUGAAAUUUGAAUUCAGCCAUGUUAGUAUCACUGUGGAGGCCACAAUCUGUAUAAAACUCACUGGUGGGUCAUGGCCAAUUGGUUUCCAAAGUGUAUUCACUGCUGGCACCUCUACUGAUGAUGUCCUCGUCAAAUUACUUGAUUCCGGACAUGACGGGUUGCCUGUCGAUGCCAAUGGUGUGACCAAGCUCUCGCGUCGCGUGGUUUCUGUUGGACUUGAGAAGUUUCUAAAGGUUUAUCUCAUGGCAAUUUCGAUUAAUGAGAAACAAGUUGUUGAGAGUAGCGAGGCAACUUUUAAGCCUGAGAGGGCUGGUAUUAGCCUAAUCAAUCUUAGUCUUGGCUUCUGUAGUAUGGAAGUUGCCGUUGCUUGGUCAUGUUUCUGUGAUGAGUGA